AUGUGAAAUGAUGGUUACCAUCUUUCGGGACUGACCUGAAAUGGAGAGAACCUAAUUUACUGAUCACAU